rnacentral:rRNA from 1 species
GGACUACUAGGGUAUCUAAUCCCGUUUGCUCCCCUGGCUUUCGCGCCUCAGCGUCAGAAGUGGUCCAGCACGUCGCUUUCGCCACCGGCGUUCCUUCCGAUAUCAACGCAUUUCACCGCUCCACCGGAAGUUCCACAUGCCCCUGCCACCCUCGAGACGAUCAGUAUCCAAGGCCCUUUUCCGGUUAAGCCGAAAGAUUUCACCCCGGACUUGAUCGCCCGCCUACGCGCCCUUUAAGCCCAGUGAUUCCGAACAACGUUCGCACGGUUCGUCUUACCGCGGCUGCUGGCAC